GUGUCAGCAGCCGCGGUAAGACAGAGGGUGCAAACGUUGUUCGGAAUUACUGGGCGUAAAGCGCGUGUAGGCGGCUAUGUAAGUCGGGCGUGAAAUCCCACGGCUCAACUGUGGAAGAGCACUCGAAACUGCGUAGCUAGAGUCCUGGAGAGGAAGGUGGAAUACUUGGUGUAGAGGUGAAAUUCGUAGAUAUCAAGUGGAACACCAGUGGCGAAGGCGGCCUUCUGGACAGUGACUGACGCUGAGACGCGAAAGCGUGGGGAGCAAACAGGAUUAGAAACCCCCGUAGUCC
rnacentral:rRNA from 1 species